rnacentral:tRNA from 1 species
GCCUCCCAUAGUUCAGUGGUAGAGUGUCCGACCGGUGUGCAGAAGUUUAUAGGUUUGACUCCUGUUGGGGGCC